UACGGGGGGGGGCAAGCGUUGUUCGGAAUUACUGGGCGUAAAGGGCUCGUAGGCGGCCAACUAAGUCGGACGUGAAAUCCCCAGGCUCAACCUGGGAACUGCGUCCGAUACUGGAUGGCUUGAAUUCGGGAGAGGGAUGCAGAAUUCCAGGUGUAGCGGUGAAAAUGCGUAGAUAUCUGGAGGAAUACCGGUGGCGAAAGGCGGCAUCCUGGACCGGUAUUGACACUGAGGCGCGAAAGCCAGGGGAGCAAACGGGGAUUAGAAA
rnacentral:rRNA from 1 species